rnacentral:rRNA from 1 species
AGUGAACGCUGGCGGUAGGCCUAACACAUGCAAGUCGAACGGCAGCACAGUAAGAGCUUGCUCUUACGGGUGGCGAGUGGCGGACGGGUGAGGAAUACAUCGGAAUCUACUUUUUCGUGGGGGAUAACGUAGGGAAACUUACGCUAAUACCGCAUACGACCUACGGGUGAAAGCAGGGGAUCUUCGGACCUUGCGCGAUUGAAUUAGCCGAUGUCGGAUUAGCUAGUUGGCGGGGUAAAGGCCCACCAAGGCGACGAUCCGUAGCUGGUCUGAGAGGAUGAUCAGCCACACUGGAACUGAGACACGGUCCAGACUCCUACGGGAGGCAGCAGUGGGGAAUAUUGGACAAUGGGCGCAAGCCUGAUCCAGCAAUACCGCGUGGGUGAAGAAGGACUUCGGGUUGUAAAGCCCUUUUGUUGGGAAAGAAAAGCAGCAGGUUAAUACCCCGCUGUUCUGACGGUACCCAAAGAAUAAGCACCGGCUAACUUCGUG